AAUCUUCCACAAUGGACGAAAGUCUGAUGGAGCAACGCCGCGUGAGUGAAGAAGGUUUUCGGAUCGUCCCGCUCUGUUGUAAGGGAAGAACAAGUAAAGGAGUCACUGUCUGUACCUUGACGGUACCUUACCAGAAAGCCACGGCUAACUAAGUGCCAGCAGCCGCGGUAAUACGUAGGUGGCAAGCGUUGUCCGGAAUUAUUGGGCGUAAAGCGCGCGCAGGCGGUCCUUUAAGUCUGAUGUGAAAGCCCACGGCUCAACCGUGGAGGGUCAUUGGAAACUGGAGGACUUGAGUACAGAAGAGGAAAGCGGAAUUCCACGUGCAGCGGUGAAAUGCGUAGAGAUGUGGAGGAACACCAGUGGCGAAGGCGGCUUUCUGGUCUGUAACUGACGCUGAGGCGCGAAAGCGUGGGGAGCAAACA
rnacentral:rRNA from 1 species